GACGAACGCUGGCGGCGUGCUUAACACAUGCAAGUCGAACGGAAAGGCCCUGCUUUUGUGGGGUGCUCGAGUGGCGAACGGGUGAGUAACACGUGAGUAACCUGGCCUUGACUUUGGGAUAACUUCAGGAAACUGGGGCUAAUACCGGAUAGGAGCUCCUGCUGCAUGGUGGGGGUUGGAAAGUUUCGGCGGUUGGGGAUGGACUCGCGGCUUAUGAGCUUGUGGGUGGGGUAGUGGCUUACCAAGGCUUUGACGGGUAGCCGGCCUGAGAGGGUGACCGGGCACAUUGGGCCUGAGAUACGGACCAGACUGCUACGGGAGGCAGCAGUGGGGAAUAUUACACAAUGGGCGGAAGCCUGAUGAAGCAACGCCGCGUGCGGGAUGACGGCCUUCGUGUUGUAAACCGCUUUCGCCUGUGACGAAGCGUGAGUGACGGUAAUGGGUAAAGAAGCACCGGCUAACUACGUG
rnacentral:rRNA from 1 species